rnacentral:rRNA from 1 species
AUUGAACGCUGGCGGCAGGCCUAACACAUGCAAGUCGAGCGGAUGAAGGGAGCUUGCUCCUGGAUUCAGCGGCGGACGGGUGAGUAAUGCCUAGGAAUCUGCCUGGUAGUGGGGGAUAACGUCCGGAAACGGGCGCUAAUACCGCAUACGUCCUGAGGGAGAAAGUGGGGGAUCUUCGGACCUCACGCUAUCAGAUGAGCCUAGGUCGGAUUAGCUAGUUGGUGGGGUAAAGGCCUACCAAGGUGACGAUCCGUAACUGGUCUGAGAGGAUGAUCAGUCACACUGGAACUGGGACACGGUCCAGACUCCUACGGGAGGCAGCAGUGGGGAAUAUUGGACAAUGGGCGAAAGCCUGAUCCAGCCAUGCCGCGUGUGUGAAGAAGGUCUUCGGAUUGUAAAGCACUUUAAGUUGGGAGGAAGGGCAGUAAGUUAAUACCUUGCUGUUUUGACGUUACCAACAGAAUAAGCACCGGCUAACUUCGUG